AUUGAACGCUGGCGGCAGGCUUAACACAUGCAAGUCGAGCGAGCGGCGGACGGGUGAGUAAUGUCUGGGAAACUGCCUGAUGGAGGGGGAUAACUACUGGAAACGGUAGCUAAUACCGCAUACCAUCAGAUGUGCCCAGAUGGGAUUAGCUAGUAGGUGGGGUAAUGGCUCACCUAGGCGACGAUCCCUAGAUGGUCUGAGAGGAUGACCAGCACACCUGGACCAGAGACCCGGCCCAGACCCCUACGGGAGGCAGCGGUGGGGAAUAUUGCACAAUGGUCGCAAGCCGGAUGACCCCAUGCCGCGGGUGUGAAGAAGGCCUUCGGGUUGUAAAGCACUUUCAGCGAGGAGGCUUUCCUCGAAGAAGAAGCACCGGCUAACUCCGUUCAAGCAGCCGCGGUAAUAC
rnacentral:rRNA from 1 species